GACGAACGCUGGCGGCGUGCUUAACACAUGCAAGUCGAGGGGUCUCCGCAAGGAGGCACCGGCGAACGGGUGCGUAACACGUGAGCGACCUGCCGUACCUGUGGGGGAUAGCCGGCCCAACGGCCGGGUAAUACCGCAUACGCUUGCCUUGGGGCAUUCUGAGGCAAAGAAAGCUGGGGGGCAACCCUGGCGCAGGACGAGGGGCUCGCGGCCUAUCAGCUAGUUGGCGGGGUAACGGCCCACCAAGGCGGUGACGGGUAGCUGGUCUGAGAGGGCGCACGGACACACUGGAACUGAAACACGGUCCAGACUCCUACGGGAGGCAGCAGUGGGGAAUUUUGCGCAAUGGGGGAAACCCUGACGCAGCAACGCCGCGUGGAGGAUGAAGUCUCUUGGGACGUAAACUCCUUUCGACAGGGACGAUAAUGACGGUACCUGUAGAAGAAGCCCCGGCUAACUUCGUGACAGCAGCCGCUGUAAC
rnacentral:rRNA from 1 species